ensembl:snRNA U6 U6 spliceosomal RNA
GUGCUCGCUUCGGCAGCACAUAUACUAAGAUUGGAACGAUACAGAGAAGAUUAGCAUGGCCCUUGCGCAAGGAUGACAUGCAAAUUCGUGAAGCAUUCCAUAUUUAA